CAAACGCAGUUAACUUUUAACAGUUUGUUUCUUAACAGCAGAACAGCAGAACAGCACCAGCAGCCAAGCGUCGUCGUGUUCCUUUUAGAGCUCUCUCUCUCUCUCUAUGGACCACCAACAGCUGUCUGAUUUUCAAAUGAUUAUUAUGCAGAGAGGGUAAAGGAAAAAACAACAGACAGCAGCCACCGGCACAGUGGAACGUGAAAGCAACGGGAUUACAGUGGAACAGACAGCAAGGAUUACAAACAGCUGCUGCACAGUGGAACACCGGGGAUUACCAUGGAAAAAACCGGCAAUGAAAAUGAAAAUGAAAAUCCUACAAAAACGGAUUGAUUAUUGUUUUUAGACUUUAACAUUUUUUUUUUGUAAUACUGUGUGUUGGAUUCAUCGUGAAUUUUUCAAAUGGAAUACCAAUAAUAAUUGUGAAAUGUUUGCAUUGGAUGAUACCCCGCAAAAUGUGCAACCGCAGCAGAGCCGUCGCGACCACAAAUCUUAAAGAAAAUUCCUUUAAGAUCAAUAACAAUACAAAUUGCGGUAAUCUAACAAAAACUACCAUAACCUAAGAAAACAAAGAAAAACAAAGCAAAACAAAAGGCAAGAAACAG
rnacentral:sRNA from 1 species